UACGUAGGGCGCAAGCGUUGUCCGGAAUUAUUGGGCGUAAAGAGCUCGUAGGCGGCUUGUCACGUCGGGUGUGAAAGCCCGGGGCUUAACCCCGGGUCUGCAUUCGAUACGGGCAGGCUAGAGUGUGGUAGGGGAGAUCGGAAUUCCUGGUGUAGCGGUGAAAUGCGCAGAUAUCUGGAGGAACACCGGUGGCGAAGGCGGCAUCCUGGACCAAUUCUGACGCUGAGGAGCGAAAGCCAGGGGAGCAAACGGG
rnacentral:rRNA from 1 species